AUGGGAUUUUUUGGGGGAAAUGGGGGUUUUGGGGGAGGAAAUAGUGAAAUUUGGGGGGAAAUGAGGAUUUUUGAGGUGAAAUUUGGGGGAAACAAUUAUGAUUUUUAGGUGAAAUUUGGGGCAAAACAUGAAGAUUUUUUAGGUGAAAUUUUGGGGGAAAAUGAAGAUUUUUAAGGUGAAAUUUUGGGGCAAAAAUGAGGAUUUUUAGGUGAAUUUUUUUGGGAAAAAUUACAAUUUUUUCGGUGAAAUUUGGGGGGAAAAUCACGAUUUUUUCGGUGAAAUUUGGGGCAGAAAAUGAGGAUUUUUAAGGUGAAAUUUGGGGUGAAAAAUAUAAUUUUUGGAGUGAAAUUUGGGGGAAAAUGUGAAAUUUGGGGGAAAAUUACAGUUUUUCGGUGAAAUUUUAGGGGAAAUGAGGAAUAUUUUUAGGUCAAAUUUGGGGGGAAAAUGAGGAGUUUUAGGUGAAAUUUGGGGGAAAUUGUGAAAUUUGGGGGGAAAAAAAUCACCAUUUUUUGAGUGAAAUUUGGGGGAAAAUGUGAAAUUUGGGAGAAAAAUUAGAAUUUUUCUCUGAAAUUUUGGGGGAAAUUUGGAAUUUUUUAAAUUUGGGGGGAAAUGACGAUUUUGAGGUGAAAUUUGGGGCAAAAAUGAGGAUUUUUUUAGGUGAAAUUUGGGGGAAAUUGUCAAAUUUGGGGGAAAUUAGGAGGUUUUAGGUGAAAUUUGGGGUGAAAAAUGACAACUUUUUAGGCGAAAUUUGGGGGAAAUUACAAUUUUAAGGUGAAAUUUGGGGCAAAAA